AUGGUGCCAAUGUAGACAAGGCCGACGCAGGUCAAAGUGUAGUAUCUGUUGUUAUCAUCCUAAUAUCUGCUAUAGAUGGUCUUUGGACACAAGAUAAUAAAUUUAUCUUUGCAAAUUGGCGGAGUGCUUGACGCCUGCUUCACCUUCGACGCGGUUCGGCACGAUAUUUCACUAUCUUCGGGAUCGGCAUACGGUUU